AUGACGUCGCCCAGUCCCUCAACGAGCGCGGCGUCAUCGGCCGCUUCUCCACCUUCCUCGAGCACGUCAAACAGCUCAAAACCGGCGAGCAGGUCACCCGCUACAACGCCCUGUUCCACUGGGCCGUCCCUCCCGGUCGCGAGCUGGAUGCCGGACGAGAGGUCGGCCGCUUCCACAUCAUGACCCACGCCUACUGGCGCGAGGCCGGCGAAGAGUUCAACCACGUCAACGUCAUGGGCGUCGCCCACGGAACCGACAAAGACCUGGUCCUCGCUCACAAGCGCGCCAUUGAUGAGCACCUCGUUUCUCACGGAAUUCCCGUCACCUACACCAACGUCUUCUGGGGCGGCCGCAGCGAAAUCAAGCCCAGCGAAAUCUCGCCCAUCGCGUAUCGCGACUU
rnacentral:misc_RNA from 1 species